AAGGAACGGUCUUGGUAGAAUCAGCAGGGAAAGAAGACCUUGUUGAGUUUGACUCUAGUCCGACUUUGUUAAAUGACUUGAGACGUGUAGUAUAAGUGGGAGACGAAAGGCGAAAAUGAAAUACCACUACUUUUAACGUUAUUUUACUUAUUCCGUUAAUCGGAAGCUGGUGAACUGCCUCUCUUUUUGGACCCAAAGGUCGCAUCGCGGGCCGAUCCGGGCGGAAGACAUUGUCAGGUGGGGAGUUUGGCUGGGGCGGCAUAUCAGUUAAAAGAUAACGCAGGUUACUAACCUAUCUUACGACGGUCUAAACCCAGAUCACGUUCCCUAUUGGUGGGUGAACAAUCAAACACUUGGUGAAUUCUGCUUCACAAUGAUAGGAAGAGMCGACAUCGAAGGAUCAAAAAGUAACGUCGCUAUGAACGCUUGGCUGUCACAAGCCAGUUAUCCCUGUGGUAACUUUUCUGACACAUCUAGCUUCGAAUUCCAAAGGUCUAAAGGAUCAUUAGGCCACGCUUUCACAGUUUGUAUUUGUACUGGAAAUUAGAAUCAAACGAGAUGUUACCCUUCUGUUCCACACGAGAUUUCUCUUCUCGUUGAGCUCAUCUUUUGAUGAUAGUGUCGCAAUAGUAAUUCAACCUAGUACGAGAGAAACCGUUGAUUCACACAAUUGGCCAUCGCGUUUGGUUGAAAAGCCAAUGGCGCGAAGCUACCGUGUGCUCGAUUAUGACUGAACACCUUUAAGUCAGAAUUCGGCUAGAAGCGACUCAUGAGAUCGCCGCCCGCUUGCUGACCCGCAGUAGGGGCCUAUGGCCCCCAAGGCACAUGUCAUUUGCUAAGUCGCCGCGACGGAAGCGUCGCGGUGACCGCCUUAAAGUACAAUUUCCAUCGAGCGGAGGGUACAAUCCUUUGCAGAUGACUUUGAUACGCGACAGGGUAUUGUAAGUGGCAGAGUGGCCUUGCUGCCACGAUCCACUGAGAUUCAGCCCUUUGUCGCUCCGAUUCGUCCCCCCCACACUCC
rnacentral:rRNA from 1 species